rnacentral:rRNA from 1 species
UGGGAGCAAACAGGAUUAGAUACCCUGGUAGUCCACGCUGUAAACGAUGUCAACUAGUUGUUGGCCUUAUGAAUGAGGUUAGUGACGAAGCAAACGCGAUAAGUUGACCGCCUGGGGAGUACGGUCGCAAGAU